rnacentral:rRNA from 1 species
UCAAGUUAUUAAGGGUGCAGGGCGGAUGCCUUGGCACUAGGAGCCGAUGAAGGACGUGAUAAGCUGCGAUAAGCUUCGGGGAGUUGCACGUAAACUUUGAUCCGAAGAUUUCCGAAUGAGGAAACUCACUUAGAGUAAUGUCUAAGUAUCAUUAAGUGAAUACAUAGCUUAAUGAGGGGAACUCAGGGAACUGAAACAUCUAAGUACCUGAAGGAAGAGAAAGAAAUUCGAUUCCGUAAGUAGCGGCGAGCGAACACGGAUUAGCCCAAACCAAUAAAGUUUUCUUUAUUGGGGUUGCGGACAUAUCAUAACGAAGAGGUAUCGUAAUUGAAGAGGUUUGGAAAGACCCACCACAGAAGGUAAUAGUCCUGUAUGUUAAACGAGAAGACUUCAGAUAUGAUCCAGAGUACCACGGGACACGUGAAACCCUGUGGGAAGCAGGAGGGACCACCCUCCAAGGCUAAAUACUACCUAGUGACCGAUAGCGUAUAGUACCGUGAGGGAAAGGUGAAAAGAACCCCGGGAGGGGAGUGAAAUAGAACCUGAAACCCUGCACUUACAAGCUGUGGAAGCACAUUUCUUGUGUGACCGCGUACUUUUUGUAGAACGGGCCAACGAGUUACGUUAAGUAGCAAGGUUAAGCACUUAAGGUGUGGAGCCGUAGCGAAAGCGAGUUUUAACUGAGCGUUCAGUUACUUGACGUAGACCCGAAACCGGGCGACCUACCCAUGAGCAGGAUGAAGCGAAAGUAAAAUUUCGUGGAGGUCCGAACCCACGAGCGUUGAAAAGCUCGGGGAUGACUUGUGGGUAGCGGUGAAAUUCCAAUCGAGCCCGGAGAUAGCUGGUUCUCCCCGAAAUAGCUUUAGGGCUAGCCUCAAGGUGAGAGAUACGGAGGUAGAGCACUGAAUGUCCUAGGGGGUAUUGCACCUACCGAAGACUAUCAAACUCCGAAUGCCGUCAUCUUAUACUUGGGAGUCAGACUGUGGGUGAUAAGAUUCAUAGUCGAAAGGGCAACAGCCCAGAUCGUCAGCUAAGGUCCCUAAAUGUAAGUUAAGUGGUAAAGGAUGUGGGAUUGCACAGACAACCAGGAUGUUGGCUUAGAAGCAGCCACUCAUUCAAAGAGUGCGUAAUAGCUCACUGGUCGAGUGAUCCUGCGCCGAAGAUUUCCGGGGCUAAAACUUACUACCGAAGCUACGGCAUCAGUAAUGAUGGGUAGGGGAGCUUCCCAUACGGGUUGAAGCAUGACCGUAAGGACAUGUGGACAGUAUGGGAGUGAGAAUGUUGGCAUGAGUAGCGAGAUGUGGGUGAGAAUCCCACAGGCCGUAAACCCAAGGUUUCCAGGGGAAGGUUCGUCCGCCCUGGGUUAGUCGGGACCUAAGCUGAGGCCGAAAGGCGUAGGUGAUGGACAACAGGUUGAUAUUCCUGUACUACCGAUAACCGUUUGAGAGAAGGGAUGACACAGUAGGAUAAGCUAAGCACACUGUUGGUUAUGUGUGCCCAAGCAUUGAGGCAGUCAAAGUAGGCAAAUCCGCUUUGAUAAUGCUAGGAUGUGAUGGGGAGCGAAAUUUAGUAGCGAAGUAGCUGAUUUCACACUGUCAAGAAAAGUCUCUAUCGAGGUUAAAGGUACCCGUACCGCAAACCGACACAGGUGGGUGAGGAGAGUAUCCUAAGGCCAGCGAGAGAACUGUUGUUAAGGAACUCGGCAAAAUGACCCCGUAACUUAGGGAUAAGGGGUGCCACCAUCAGGUGGCCGCAGAGAAUAGGCCCAAGCGACUGUUUACCAAAAACAUAGGUUUCUGCUAAGUCGCAAGACGAUGUAUAGGAGCUGACGCCUGCCCGGUGCUGGAAGGUUAAGGGGAUCUGUUAGAGCAAUCGAAGCAGUGAACUUAAGCCCCAGUAAACGGCGGCCGUAACUAUAACGGUCCUAAGGUAGCGAAAUUCCUUGUCGGGUAAGUUCCGACCCGCACGAAAGGCGUAACGAUUUGGGCACUGUCUCAACAACAGACUCGGUGAAAUUGUAAUUCCGGUGAAGAUGCCGGAUACCUGCGACAGGACGGAAAGACCCCAUGGAGCUUUACUGUAGCUUGACAUUGGGUCUUGGUACUACAUGUACAGGAUAGGUGGGAGGCUUUGAAACCAGGACGCCAGUUUUGGCGGAGCCAUCCUUGGGAUACCACCCUUGUAGUACUGGGACUCUAACCAUAGGCCAUGAAUCUGGUCUUGGGACACUGUCAGGUGGGCAGUUUGACUGGGGCGGUCGCCUCCCAAAAGGUAACGGAGGCGCUCAAAGGUUCUCUCAGUACGGUCGGAAAUCGUACGUAGAGUGUAAAGGCAAAAGAGAGCUUGAUUGCAAGACAUACAGGUCGAGCAAGGAUGAAAAUCGGACUUAGUGAUCCGGUGGUUCUGCGUGGAAGGGCCAUCGCUCAACGGAUAAAAGCUACCCUGGGGAUAACAGGCUUAUCUCCCCCAAGAGUCCACAUCGACGGGGAGGUUUGGCACCUCGAUGUCGGCUCAUCACAUCCUGGGGCUGUAGUAGGUCCCAAGGGUUGGGCUGUUCGCCCAUUAAAGUGGUACGCGAGCUGGGUUCAGAACGUCGUGAGACAGUUCGGUCCCUAUCCGUCGCAGGCGUAGGAAAUUUGAGAAGACCUGUCCUUAGUACGAGAGGACCGGGAUGGACGUACCUCUGGUGUACCAGUUGUUCUGCCAAGGGCAUGGCUGGGUAGCUAUGUAUGGAAUGGAUAAGCGCUGAAAGCAUCUAAGCGCGAAGCCAACUUCAAGAUAAGAUUUCCCACCGCAAGGGUAAGACCCCAGAAAGACUAUCUGGUUGAUAGGUCGAAGGUGUAAGUGCAGCAAUGUAUUUAGCUUAUCGAUACUAAUAGGUCGAGGACUUGACCAA